GAAAUGCCCCUUAUAUAGCAUCUUUCUGUCUCGCCCAUCCCGUUGCUCCAAUAUUCUAACAACAAGUGAUUAUUGAGCAAUGCGCAUGUGCGGGAUAGACUGAUGGCUGCUUUUUGUCCGGAGCA
rnacentral:pre_miRNA from 15 species